GUAUAAAGCCACUUGCAGCUUUCUUGCCCUAAGAGGGAGUAUAUUUCUUGUCCCCUUGAUCGGAGAUGCUUGUUCAAAGUUCUUUGCCUUCUGGCUCUGUGUGUAUGGGGUGGACGUCCUCUAAUUUAGCAAGAAAAGUUGGAUAUCCAGUGAGUUAUCAUGAUUCCUUCCGUAUUCAGGACACCUCCAGGUAGAGAUUUCUCCCACUUGGUUUCCAAUUUAGAUCAGUUGUGUGCCCUUUAGCUGGUUACAUUUGGGUGAAUUGAAUCCCACCUGAAGUGGACAGAAUUCUCCACACUUCCAAACUAUUUCCCACCAUGUCUUGCCAUCAUACUGCUUCUCUAUUUGCUCAGCCAACAAGCAUUCAAAGUUAUCUCCUUCAGCAUAGCUCCAUGCUUGCACAACAUCCCCUGCCAAAGGGAAGCAUCGACAUUAGGCAGUCAGACUGAAGAAAAUCAGGCUGCAAUUCAGAGUUGGACUCACUGAAGAAGGGGGAGAAGUUAUCACUUUCUGUGACAGUCUGCUGAUCACUGUAAGGGUUCACAAAAAACCUUGAAAAUUAAUACACAAGGAAUAACCUUCCAUUUGUUUUCCUACAGGGUAAGGUCAUUCUUUGUCUAGAUGAAAAGCAAAAGGGAAAAAAUUGAGCUACAGCAAGGACUUGUUCAAAUACAGAGAGCUGGUAGCAAUCACAUUGGCUUCUUCAUCUCAUUAGCAAUCUGUUCUGGUCAAUUUUCCUCAUUUUCUUUAACUCAAGCACCAUGUUGUAAAUGUCAGAUUGCAACCAUUUACAGAACUGCUGGGGAAUCGUGCUCCUUCUAGGGCGCUACUUCCUAACUUUGCAGAAGUUUAGAAGGUAUGUUUGAGCAGCAGCAAGUGGGUUGUCUUGUCUGAAUCUUUAAACGUUUUUGUCUUUGUUUCACAUUGAGCACCUAAGCUCCUUCCAUCCUGGGAUAUGUGGGUGCCAUGUCCUUUCUUUGCUGCACAUACCGCUUGGAUGUGACCGGUCCAGUGGCCUGAAGAAGAGCCUUCACCAACCGUCCCAUGCUCAGCUACUCUUGUUGGGAACAUGCUCAACCACUCUUGUUGGGAAUGUUUACCAGUAUCCAGCCUGCUUCCCACUGCUGUAAUUAAACCAGCUGCUUCUCAUCUUCAUAUCCUUUCUGCUAUAGAAGUACCACCUACACACCGUCCUGGAUUGAUAGAGUAAAUAUAGAAGCCAGUAAGCCUAACCCUAUUCCAAAUGCCUCCCCUGAGCUUUGUGAUGAGAGUUAAGAGCCCCAGUCAUCCAGGUGCCUUAGCAAGUCUCCUUGUAGGAGUGCUGACCAUGCAGCCAGAUCCCACCAGCUACCCACACUGGUCACCCCAGAGCCCGAUCACUUCAGUGGUGCCGUCUUCCUUGCCACGUAGCUGCUGUUGCCUGAAAAGUGCAACAGAAUCCAUCAAGGGGCUGCCCUUCUGCUGAAGCCUUCUUUUGUUGGCCACUGUCAACAAGUCCGAGCUAAUAUUCGCAAGCAUGUGUUGGUGAAUGUAGCCUCAAUCAUUCCCAGGGUGUGCUGCUUCCCCUUGGCCACCAGAAGAGAGGGGAAACGGCUUAUCUUUCUUUCACUUAGUGCCAGUAGAUUCCCUGAAGAGUUCUCCCUCUUUGUGUUCAUGCACUACGAGUACCCCUAGAACACAGGCUAUUUCUCAGAGCUGCUUUAUCAAUGCUGAACAUCAUAUUUUUUUUUCCCUUGAAGAUGACUAGUUUGUAGAGAAUGCUUCUGAUUUACUUCUGCCUUUCCCCCAGCUUUCCAACGGCAUUGUCUCUAAGUGGACUGUAAUACUGGUAUCAAUGUUAGUAGGACCCAUUGAUCAAGUAAUCAAAGCUCACUGCUGUGUUGGAUAUACAUAUGUUAGUGACAGUUGCGUUAAGCCAAAUUUAGCAGCUGGAUUCUUCAACAUCCCUUUGUUUUGUAUCUACCUCACUAUGAUUUCUUUGAUUUCUUGUGAUUUAGUGUUGUAUACAAUGUCAGAGGUGAUAUGUAGAUAAAAAUAUAUAUAUAUAUAUAAAAAUAUAUAUUUUUUGCUUUGCAAUAAAGCUCAAAGCUAUAACACUGAAUAUUCAUAAAAUGUCAUAAUCUUUAUUGUGAUGUUCCUAUUUUAGUUGUAAAAUCCUGUCUGGAUCCUAUUUUCCUGUACACUAGAAUCAAUAUUGUGUUCACGAGUGAAUGAUUAUUAUUUCUGUUACUUUUCCACUUAAGCGAUAUUUUUGAGAUGUGAGAUAGACACCAGAAUUGUCAAAACAUGAAUUGGUUUAUGUGUUUUUUCCCCUUAUAUAGCCUGCAUGUAACUGGAAUCAAACAGUGACAUUGAAAGAAAAUGAUUUGCAGUCCUGAUCUUUCAAUUUUGGCUUGUCUGAUCAUAGCACUGAAUUUGGCAGGGAGUGGAAGCAAAAAUAGAGGCACUAUUAGGGUGAGCAUAGGAAGAAAUGAAGAAAAAAUAUUCAUCACAAUUUGGCUGCAGAGAGGAUUCGUUCUUUGAAAUAACUGAAAUGAAAUGUGGCACAUCUCUGAUGAUGGAGACCACAGUCAUCGAGCUUAAUUCCAGGCAGUGAAAAGUUAGCUGUGUGCCUCAUGGCGGUCCCUGGACCAGAGGCACACCUCCAGCUCUUUCCUAUUGAAAUGGAGAGAGACAAAAAGUUCCCUAGGGUUCUUCACACCUAAGACACUUGUCUAGGAUAUGUGGGAUACAGCUCCUUCAGGAUGGGAGUAUCUCCCUUUCUUUGUGGAUAGAGCAGAGAAGAUGAGUUCAUGUUAGAUACCUCAGCUCUCUGGGCUAAAAUCAAGUUCAAUGACUCCCAUCAUAAUUGCACAAAGGUCAUCCUGGCUAAUGAAAACUGUCUCAAUAUUAUGGUCAUGUGCAUUAUUCUGAACCAGAUGAUACCUUGUGCUCUGUUAGUGGAAGGGAUGAGGAAGGUGGGAGCUCCUGCCCUCUUGGCAAAGUGGGAAAAUAGGACUUUACCUAUUGGUCCUAUGCUCCUGUGGUGGAUAAGAUCCUUAGACCCAGGGACUAUCCAUCAGUACCAAAAAUGACAAACAUCUGGCACAGAAAUGCUGGCUGAGUCCUAUAGAAGGUAGAUGAGUGUCAGGGGGGACUGCUGAGAAGGACACUGCUCCCAUAGGCUGGAAUUAGGGGGAAAAAAUACACUGAGCCCAAACGCUGGCACUCUUUGCUUGAGUAGAGAAUAUUUCCAUGGAUCUCAUGCAUUGUCUUCAAUGGGAGCAGAAUGAGGUGAAUCCUCUCCAUUUCCCUUCCACCAGACUGUAGGGAAAGGAACAUUUUCCUUCACUGCUUUGUCAAAAAAAAAAAAAAAAAAAAAAAAAAGUAAUGACCAGAAAGAAUCAGACACAAAUGGAAUCUGACAUAUUCUUUAAAAGUAAGGAGAAAAAACACUACUGAACUUAAAUCCAGUUAUUCCAUAGGGGGAAAAGCAAAAAGAAAAAGAAAAUAAAGAUGCAAGAAAUGAAACCCAAAUGUGUGCGAAUCAAAUCGAAAGGGAGGAAAUGUUUUUGGGUUUCACCUAAAGCAUGUGACAGGACUGCAAAAUGCAUCAUUUAGAGUGGGUUUCACAAGACCUCUUCUGUGUUGUCUUCUCUCCAAAAUUUGCACAAUUGUUCAGUACUAACAGCAGUUUUUUUCCUCAUUCUGAUCUGGUGUCUGUACAAAUCUGGCUUGGGUUUUUGGUUUGUUUUUCUUAUUGUUGUUGCCUGUUCCCAGCUAUUUCUAUUUUUGCGGUGUAGUAUUUUGUCUAUAUGGAAUGAAAUGCAGAUGUGUUCAUGAAAUUGUAUAGCAGACGGAAUUACAGGUUGGAGUUGAUUUGGAAAAGAAAAACAAACUAACAAUGCGAAGAGAAAUAUCUAUAUGAAAAGUAUGCUUCCAAAGUGUGUGUUUGAAUUUGAGCAUUUUGUCAUUUUACUGAGCUUUUUGAAAGGCUUAUUUUGAAAUAAUGAGACUUUAUGACGGUUGGGGUUUUUGAAUACCAAAAAAGCACAAUUAUCGUUAAAACAUUAUCAUUUUUAUUACGUUAUUUCACUCUUUGCCUAUCUGGGCAUUAUGAUCCCCAAAUUUUGUCAUGAAAUAUAUAAUCCUUUAUACCUGCUCAUUAGUCAUCUUUCAUUAGGCAAAAGGGAGAGAUGCAGCUGUUUCAUUUCUGCUCUGAAACCACGCAGAAUUCCUGGUCUGAUUUGGUUUUUAUUUGCUUUAAAAAUAGGGUUGAAUUUUUUACUUUGUGGUUAUUCUCUUUGAUGCUUACCGUAAAGACAACAAGGUCUUCCUUUAACUGAGUGGCAAAGAAUCUAUGCGGUAUAUGCAAGAGACAGCCUUGAUUUUGCCACAUCUGCAGCGAACGGUGGUUUGUGAAGGACUGGGUCAUGCAAAGCAUUUGUGGAUCUGAUUUGGUCAUGCUGAUAAAGAGGGAAGGCUUAUCUGUGAUGCAUUCCUCAGCUGUAGGGGGAGGAGUUGAAUUAAUCCAGGUGGCUGAGUAAUGGUAGUUUGGUCCUCAGAUGUUCAGAGUUGGUUGGCUGGAGAAGUCAUUCAUUGCUUUGACUGAAUAGAGCCUAUAUUUGCUUUCCUUAUUCUCAUAGAUAUUUCCACUGAUGCUAAUGGGUUGCCUUUGGUUUCGGUCAUAGAAACAUUUUCUUGUUAAGUCUACUUGUUGUGUUGUUAGUGUGGUUGUAUCGGAAUGAGUUGCUAAUGUUGAAUUUCAGCUUUUAUGUUCUUCUAUGGCGUUGACUGUGCUUUACUGAGAAGCUCUGCGUCCCUUCCAGCAUAUACAAUAGCUCUACUCAUUUCCAGGUUGUAAGAUCUUUCGUUACUGUAGAGGUGCUGUUUAUUUUGGUGGCUGUAUCAUGAGUAAUAUCUAGCUUUGGCGAAGCUGACUCAACGUUUAUCCUGGGAUGGAGGAGCAGCACGUGUUGGUGGGGAGGGUGUUCUGUUUGAAUAGGAGUCUCCUCUCUGUUGACUGUUGUAUGACAGAUGACUUAUAAUGUGUAGAUGUAAGAGCAUUGGAAAUGUCUUCUGCUAAAAAUUGGAUCUGAGCAAAGACUGAGUAGGUUCUGGGGAUGGAGCCCUUAAGCCAAGUCUCACUGGAUUUGGGUUUUCAUCUGGAACCACCAGUAUAUUCCAAAAGGCAGGUGAGGUUGGACAAAUUGAUGCUUGCAUGGGUUGUGUUUGGAACAGAGGUGACAGAGGGUAAUCUCGUGUUGUGCAGCAGACUCAUUGUUGGCAGCAGUGUAUCAUCAGAGGAUAAGGGAGGCCUGGCAGGUUACAUUACUGCAUGGUGACCUUGCCCUUGUGGAGGCCUCUCUGGAUGACCAAUUGUUUCUGUCUUCAACAGAAGACACAUCUAUUAUCUUUUGAGGCUGCAAACAAAGCCAAGUGACUUCACUUUCAUUCCUGGGUCACUGGGAAGCACCAUUAGUGUUUCUGAAACAGGUUGUUCCCCAUGGGAUAGUUAGCAUUGAGCCCUCACCCUGAAAUAGGCAGAAAAGGCAGCUGUGAGGCCUGAGCAAGAAAGGCCUGAUCUGGGGCGCUACCCAGCAAACAAACUCAAUGGACUUAAUUCUUUUAAAGCAGCUUUUAUACCGUGGGUUUGAGAAGUUAGAUAACACCUGAGUCAAUUAGUGUCCCUGAAAGAGGCUGUGUCUUACACAGAAGUGCACAGAAGGCAGUGUGCAUGUGAAUGCACCAUGAGCGUGGUGGUAGGCCUCUUCCACCAGAGGAAGAGGUUCAGACCUUUAAUGGGGUCUAAGAGCACAGAGCCAGGAAGAUUUGAGCCUUGUUUCCAUGCUGAGAGAUGCAGAAGGCUUUUAGUUCCUGAAAUGGCGAAGAAAUAAGAGGGGCUUCUUUCAAGAACAUGAGGUCCAGGCCACUCUGAAGGUAGCCAGGAGUUAAACUGACCUGAGAUCAGGGGCUGAGACCCUCUACGCAACAGAGAGGUGUCAGUGGCUGGGAUUCUGUUGUAUUCUCUCUGUGAUCUCCUGAGACUUGGAGCCACAGAGCCCUUGGAGGCUCAGGUCAAGACAGGAUGGAUGGCAGCAGGGGAGGGAUGUGCCCAUGCUAUUCAGAAGCAGAUUUGCGUCCUGGUGUGAUGUCAAAUGUGUUCUGAGAAACUGUGUUCUGAAUGCCUCUGGAUUUCUCUGUGGCCGGGCAUUAGGCCAUAGCCAGACUCAUGAGCUGAAGGAGAGACCAGUGUGCCAUUAAAACAUCCCACAAAAGAUACAGGAGCUUAAAUAUGCAGAAAAAAAUGCCCACUGAAAUCCUUCUCUGAAGUAUGCAAAGGAAGGUAGGGAUGUGAGUUAGGGGAUAGUAAAACUUUACUUACUACAGCCCAUCCACUUGUCAGGAAAGGUGAUUUUUUUCAAAUGAGCAGUGAAUCAUCUUAGACUAAUUCUGUUUGGGUCUGGAAACACGAAGUAGUUGCACCAUCCUUCCUACAGUCCUGCAUGAUUGGCUCAGCUUUGGCUGGGGGCAGCGAGCUUUGUCUCAGGCUAUCCUCUACCUGAGGAGUUAGCAGGGGAAGCUGGAAACAACAGGCAUUUUGGUUGUGGGCAGCUGGUUUUGGAGGUUAAGGGACUGCCACUGGGAAAAGGAUUGGGGCCUGGCGCCAUUUUGUUUUUAUGGAUACAGUCAACAUAGCCUUUGCCAGAUGCUGGUUAAAUGGUGCAGCAUAGUCAAAUGGAGGUAAUAGAACAGACUAGACCUACAACCAAGUCUGUGCUUAAUGAGAGAGACAAGGUUUGAGGGAGAGAUCCUAUCUUUUACUAGAAAUAUAUAUUUUUUAUUAUUAAAACACCUCCCCCUUUAAACCAUGCCUCUUGCAUUACCUUAAACUAUGCCAACUACCAUAACACAUUUAGGACAUCUUUAGAAAUGCUUUGCAAUGGAUUUUGUCUCAGUACUGUCAUUCCAGUGUUAACAAACUUCUGUGGCCCUUCUGGUCAUGCAACCUUUUCAUAUCCCAGGGUACAUACCAAAGCAAGAGACUUCAACUUUGCAAGGUGCCAAAGGUUGCUUAUUAUGUCCAAAAAUACCAUCCCUGCUUUCCGUGUGAGCUGAGGGGAUCAGUACGUUCCAGGAAGAGCCUGGAAUUUUUUUGCUCCAUGCCUUUCUUUUGUUGUCCUGCCAACAGAGCCUCAAGGACAGCAUAUGGCCUUGCUAUACUUGCUUUUUCUUAAAAAAAUAGAAAAUAAUAAGACACCAGAGUACCGCAUGAGUUUUAAUAGUGUAAAAUGAGCUGAGUCUACUUCCCUCAGACAAAAAAUCAGAAUGCAGAAUUCAUCAGUUUUAUGGCUGGCUGCAUGUUCCUGCAAUAAUUCCUUAUUUUCCAGGCUUGAGGAAUGAUCACUUUCCCCCACUUCCAGGCUGAUUUAAAAUAUCAUUCUCUCCUAAAAUAAUUCCCUCUGCUCUGAUGCUUACAAGUAACUCAGCCCUGGGCUUCCUCAAAACUCAUUGCCAGGAGCGCUGAAAGAAUUUGCAUCAAGUGGCCCAUUUCCCUCAAUGCUGGAUCAUGUAAGGUACAAGGAGGAGAAUUUUGCCUGUGGCAGAAUUUAUGUAAGCAGUGGAGUACGCAUCUCUGUUAGCCUGUAGUAUCUCUUGACUUAAAAACUCACCCUUUACAGAUGGGGAGGUGGAACAUCAGCAUCUUGAAGAUCCCCUUUUUAAUGUUCUGAAGCAGUUGGGAGUUUCAGGACAGACUUUUUUAGGACCAUUUUGCUGGGCUUGGUUUUCAGAGCAAUGUGAAGAGUUACAGCUGUGCAGGUAGAGCGGGUGAAUGUAGAAAUGUGCUAAAACCAACGCUACAAGGUGGAAUCCAGGGCAGAGAAACCUCAGAUCUACAAAGGUCCUAUGAACUUCAUCUCUUCAUGACACCUUCCUCUGCAGUUUCUGGAGAGACAUUCACAGAUUGAGGACUAGUAGUGGAUCAGAGGCUCUUCUCCCCUUAAACCUCCCAGGGAAGAGGUGAAGUUGGAGUUGUUCUGCACUGUGAGCCCUGGGGAAGUUUUUGUCACAUCAGCUCGGGUUAGAUUCAGUGGAACAAAUGACUGCCCAGCUUUUUGGAUUGCAAGCAUUUGUUUGCUCCAUCCCAUCCUGCAUUCAGCACAUUGGGUGCUUUUGCAUUAUUACUGUUUUCUGUAAAUUGAGAACUUUUUUACUGGAGGAAAAAAGACGCAUUUGUCUCUUCUUAUACCAUGACACAAUCAGCACUGGUAUAAACCAGACUCAUUUCAAAUAGAGACUGCCAGUCAGUUCUAGGUAGUUCAAGCAGCAGACCUCAUCCCUAGCACUGUGCUGGAGUAGUACAGUUCUUUGCUCAGUACAAGAACUGCCUGAUUUGCAUGAAGAAAAAGUCAUCUGAAAUGAAUCUGGUCUUAAAAAUUAAACCAAACUGCAUCAGUUUUCAAAGCGGAGAAUUUCAAGCCAGUGCGGGAAAGAGAGGUUGGCACCAGUGAGAAAUACAGGUGAAUGUGAAUAAGGUUAGAGCAGUUAUCUCUGCAGUGCUGAUAUACAGCAAUACUCUGACACAACCCUCCAGUUAUGACGUACCCUUCACCAAACUGUUCAGCUGAAAUCACCAAUGGAUAUGUUGCUUAGAGCCCACUGUGGUUUCAGCCUUCCUGGUGGGAGAUUCUUUAUGACAUAUGAUGAAGCUCUUUUUAGAUUAUUUCAUUGACCCUCCCAUGCCUUACCAAGUUCUCACCAAGUCUUUUUUCCUAGUACAGAUGAGUAAAAUAAAAUAGUCUUUUCUCAAGCUCCUGAGUUGUGGAGAAGAUGGUCAUCUUGGUACAUUUGCUUUACGUUAGGAAAGCAAGAAGAAGACUAUGGCCAAGGCACGUCUUUUGUUCUUCUGCUCUGCUGUUUCUUCCGUCUGGUAGCGCUGCCUUUUUCAUCUUGCUUCCUCUGAGAUACAUUUGAUUCCCUUUAAAAUAUGGCCAUGUCUUUGAAGAGACACUGCUCGCUUCUCAUUUGAUGUCAUCUGAAAAGCAGGGUUUAAUGGCUGGUGAUGUUCAUGUCAAAUGGCUACACCUGCAAUGUAUUUAGCUGCUUGAGGAGUGGCAGGAGAAGAUAGGUCCUUCAAAUCUAUGAGCAUUGGCAGCCAAAAGUGCAGCCAGAAGUUCUCUCCCAAGCUGUGUUCUGGCUGUGUUAUCAUGGCAGGAUCUCAUUUAGGCUGGUUUUGUAGGCACUGUGUUGGACAUUGUAAGAAUUCCUGGCCAUUUUAGUUCUUUCAUAAUUUGUCUUAGCAGCAGUAAUGCAAACUGUUAGCACAUACCUUAUUUACUCUUCUUUACCAAGGUACAUUUGGUCUCGAUCUCCACAAUGGUUAUUCAGCUCUCUGUACCUCAAACAUGUGAGGCAAGAUGUUGGUAUUCAGUCAUUCUCCCACAGUAAUUUUAUUUUUUCCCCUUUCUCUUUAGCAAGGACUGAGUCAUCUCCCACAAAGCUUCAAUGGGAAUCUAGGGAGUUUACAGGCUUUCACUGAGUCUCCAUUAGAAAUAGCAUCUCCUCCUUGUAAAUGGUUCUUGGUCCUUUAGCUUUCCUUCUGUUCUAUAAUGGCCUGACUGCUUUGUGAGGAAAAAGAUGCAAAAAAUGGAUCGCUUUGCACUCUUAUUUGCACAUUAGAGCUUUCAAACAAUCUCGUUUUCAUCUUCUGACCCAGUUCAGAGUUUCAGUGGAGAAGCGUCAUCUGGUGAAACUCAAGAAAUCACUUUCAGUCCUGAUGUUCUAUCUGGACUGGAUUAUACUUGUGAAUCUAAAUAAGUUUCCAUUGGUGGUAGAACAGCUUUAAAGAAUGAAGACCAACUUGUCUAUGGGGCUAUGUAAGGUUCUUCAGCACUUCUUCCAGAUUUUUUACUGCAAAGCAUAAAAACAAUUCAAAGGUUUGGACUGUGAUGUCUGCUACCUUACAAUUCGAGAGGAAAUCUUUCAGUGUACCCACCUCUUUUACAUGAAACAGACAUCCUUUUGCGAUCAUUUGUCCUCAUCUUCAAAAGAGGUUUUAGUAGAAUAACAUCAAAUAUCCAGUGCUGAGAUGUUCCAUAAAGCACAGAUCUUGCAGACGUCUUUGUGGAUGUCUUGCUGGAACCAGGAUGCUGUGAGCUGCUUUAGCAGGCGGUGUCCUUGCACGACCCAAUGGACAAGAUACAUUCAUUUCACAAAACCAUUGCCUAAGAUGAAAAUCAAAGGCUGCACGCAGGUGACCAACCUUGGAAAACAGUCUACAGGUAUUUUUAGGUGAGAGAAACUGUUCUGAGAGCUGCCUUGGAAAAGGAACUGAGUUUUUCGGCAUGAAAUGAAGGAACAAAGAAGAGAGCUGUUACUUCAAGAUGGACUGAUAACCUCAAGGUGGGAUAGGAUGACACUGAAAUGUGUCUGUACUUUGGAAAAUCCAAAACUUAACAACUUUCUAAGAGCUGGUAAGAUUCACUUUAUCUGACUAAGAUAACUAAAAAGUUAACUCUCCAAAUUUAAGCUAGUGUUGCUCAACUUUCUUUUUGUUUCUUGGAGAAUACUCCUAUCAGUGAUACCUAAAAAGAGAUUUAUUGGUCUCUGGAAAUAACAUUUUUCUUUCCACUGACUAAGAAAGGAGCCAAGGGUGAUUUUUCCAGUGUGAUGUGGAUGUAGGAGGCCAUUUUCACUAAUCAUGAAGAAAAUUCUUCUCUGUAGGAAUGGGGCAACAUUUCUGCUGUCCAUCUUCUAUCCAUCAUUCAUCAGAGAAGUUCACACAUUAACAUCCAAGGGGCAAAAUCACCAUACAAGGCAGAGGUCUUCAGCAUUACCUAGAAUGACAAAGCCUCUUCUUCUCAACUAGCGUCACAGUCUCACGUCCCAAGGCUUUAUGUAGUCCAGUUUUAAGCAAUUAGCCUGAUCAGAUUUUGAGCACUUCUUUUGGUAACUAAUGUUUUUACGUACCUGAGUACUUUCUGAUCAGGCAAUUAAAAAAGUCUCCAUAGACUUAUCAGCCUUUUUGGGUUAGGCUUGCAAUUCACAGUCUUGCUGUUGCUUAGAAUUUGGGAGGAGCAGUGCUGUUUCUUUUGCAAGGCACAUGCCUUCGUACUUCGGCAGCUUUUUCUGGUGAUUGAUCAUGCAUCAAGAGGAAUGCCUCAUUUAAUUAAAAGCCCCCAAGCGAAAGAGCGCUGUGAUGGGAAUGUGUCUCAUCCUCAAACCUUCCUCCUGCAUCGGCAUUGUUCCUGACUAGGGGUUUUGUCAAGUUUCUUACUUUUCUAAGAGCCAGAUCGAUACAAGCUCUCCCAGCGCUUGGUAGAUUUCAUCAGCAUUGGCAAACUCUUUUCAAGAAGAAAGUAGCUUUUCAAAAAGAAGGUAACCAACAUGUGCAUGACCUCCUCAGAGGGGUUAGGAAUAGACUGAAGGGCCAGAGGAGAGAGACAGGGAUGGAAGACCUUUGAGAAAUUAUUUGUCUUUAUCUCCAGCUGAGCUCAUAAUGUUCCUUAGCCUCCGGCUGGGACUUCAUUUAGCUGAGGAGUGCAGAUGUAAUUUUCAAAAUAUGAGUGUUUUUUUUCUUUUAAUAUAAAAUGUACCCUCUGAGUAAUUCUGCAGCCUUUCCCACCUGACAAUACUGUAACUAACCUCGCCAUUAGGAGCAGGGAGAAAACUUGAAAGAAGGAUUAAUCCUACUCAGCUUUCACUCCCUAAAAAUUGAAGUGCCUUGCCUAACCUCUUUAGAUCUUCUUCCUCUACCAUCAGCAGAAGGAGACAGGCACGCUUGAAGAGGAGUUCAACCCACAUAUCUCACACCACUUCUUUGGGUCGAACUUUCUCACAUCUAACUUAAAGUGAGAUAGGAUUAAUUGUAUUUUUGAGUAAGGCCAAUGUGAAAUGGAAAUCACAGAAUCAAGAGCUAAAUAAAUUCUUCAAAUGCUGUUCAAAGGACAGGGACGUUUCUGCUCAAAGCUUGCAUUUUAGUUUGUUACAGAGUCCUUGGACAUCUCUUCUUGGAGCUAUGAUUUCACCUGCAGCCUUAGAACUUUCUGACCAUCUUCUGAUUUCUAUGUUUUCUUGUUUAGAUAAGUCUGGUUGGUUUUAAAUUAAGAUCAACAUGCUUGAUUAAAUCAGGAAGUCUUUAUUGUUUCUAUUACGCUACUACUAUGUUUUUGCUGUUUUAAAGCUUGUUUAGCUCAGAAAUGCCAGAGCUGCUGAAUGCUGCUAAACAUAGGCAGAAUAAAAAAUAUUGAGUUGUAAUUGAAAACAACUGCAGAGCUAUGGCUAGAACAUCCUCCAGUUACAUUUCGUUUUCUUGUAAAUCUCUUGUUCUCCUUUCAGUGGCAGCUAGAGAUAAUUCCAGCCCCAGGAGUGUGUGCACAAACCAAGCUGGUGUGCAACACUGGACACCUUCAUUCAGCAAGCAGUGCAGGGACAAUAAUUUGGACAGGAGAAUAAUCUUUCAGGAAGCUGUGUGUAACCUCUUGUGGAUUUUGGUUUCAGUAGAUGUCGGUUGAAUAUUGAACCUGGUCCUCUUUGUCAUAAGCAAUGUAAGCAGAUGGGUGCUCUAGUCCAGUGUAGCUGUCAAGAUCCGCAUUGCAGUCCACAGGAAAAGGCUGGUCCUUCUGGGAAGUGAUCCAUCUUAUAUCUGUCUUAGGAUGGAAGGAGGAAUCCUUGACAACCCCAUACACAUUUAACUUCUGGCUGGCUAAAUAUCUGUGCAGUGAAAAUAGUAAGACUUCAUUAUCUAUUCUGUGGAAUUUCUGCUGUGCUACCUGCUCACCCUUUAAAAUGAUUCUUCCAACUUUAACCACAUCUGAUUCAUGGAAGUGACUAUUGGCUUGAGAGAACAUCUUGGCACUUUGAUCUAGUCCUGAUUUCACCUGAGCUUUGUUUUUUGUUGAUUUGCUUUGGUUUAAUAGGCAACACUUUGUCUUGCCCUCCUGAUAGUUGGGGAUGGAGAGACUUAUCUCACCUAAUCUUAAAUCAAUGGAAGUGGCUUCUUCACCUGAACUUGCUGUAUAUACUCCUGCUGCAGCACUGUCAGACUGUGAGACAUCACAUUUGUUCACUUUCAUGAUAGGAAGAAAAAUCACAUUUCAGAAGAGACCAUUUCUGUCUGCUGAUUGCAUAAUAAGCAGAGUUUAGCAUCAGGUUGGUGAUGGUAGAUAUCUGACCAGCAGCGAGGUGGCAGGAUGGCUGUCUCUAAUCUUCAGACAUCUUGCAUUAUGUUGUUUCACUCUUCCCUACCAUGUCUGGUGGGGUUUGGUGGCCUCUGCCAGUGGUUCCUGCCAGGUGGUGCAUCCACCAGAAGCUUGCCCAAGGGCUUAGCCUUCGGUUUUUGUGUAAACAAAGUGGAGAAUGCUGCUUAAAUACUGCAGAGGAAGAAAACUUGUUAGCAGGGAUUUAUUUCCAGAGGAAGCCAGGAGAAUUAUCUAUACCUUUUAACAGCAAUGAAGGAGCUGUAGGGUCUUCUUCCAUAUCCAUUAAGUUGUAUGUGUGUGUCUAGGGCAUGUGUACAGGCAGAAACAAAUACGUGUGGACAGGGAAGAUAUACAUUGGCAGUGAACUACAGUGAGGAUUCUUCUCCAAGUGCUGGGACGUUUUGUUCUCCUUUCGGAGUGGAAUCUGUGGGACCUCAGUUGCAUGCAUCCAACCCACGAAGACAGGGCAGUCUGUUGCGUUGGUGUAAUUCUGGGUAAUCACCACUGAAUUAACGUGUUGAGCUUGGUUUCACCCCUGUGAUGUCCUGAGUUGCCUCCUUUGUGGUAGGAGGGGUACGAGUAGAGCAUCUUCCUUGAGCUAGUCCCUCACAGUGAGGUACCGCCAGGGCUGCAGACAUUUGCAUCUCACCUUAAAAUUACUUGAAGGAAAAAGCCCCUUCCAAAUAUAUCUGUGGCUUGGAAUCAUGGGGCCAACAUGGAUGAUCCUGCUGCAGGGAACCUGUCCAAACAAAAUGUAGAUCGAUUCUAACAUCACCUUUAAAUGCACAACCUGAGAUCCCAGCUGUGGGAGGUGGAACAGCGGUCUGCCUGGGCAGAGGCAGCAGGGUGAGAGCCCAACCCCUGUGAGCCCCCGGAGCUCAGUGGGGUCACAGAAUGCCGUGACUCAAACACACAGUCGUGUCCCUCAUCCAAUGGUUUUUAUGUUUAAAUUGUCGGGAUUUCGACAAAUGUUUCAUGCUUUUAUUAAGGCAAAAAUACGUGCUUGUGAAAUUGUGAAAUUGAUGUGUUCUUUUGUAUCUGUUUAAAAAAAAAACAUGUACUUAAAGCUAAAGAGCCGUUAUUGUGCGGGGUUUUCUCUCAAACUGGUGCAUACACUUUACAUCAGGGACCUACUAUACAUAACAAAAAUCAGUGAUUCAGUUACUGUAAAACCAGAUACACACCUUUUACUGUAAUAAUAACUUUUAAAACCUUGCACUGUAAUGGUUGCUAUUAAAAACAAUCAAUCAAAAAAAGAAAAAACUACAAAAAAAAAAAAACUUGUCAGAAUGAUUUUGUAUCUUUGAUUAUAUCUGAAAUUUUAGCAUUUUUGUAUACUUACCAUAUCCACAACAGCAUCCUCCACAGUUAGUUCCCAGGUUCUGUUUCCUUUCUGUCUCACAAAACACACGCAUUGCUACAGGAUGUGGAUGGGCAGGGUAUGGCCAUGGGAACCAUGUAGGUCACCCCAAGCUCUUGUCACAUACACCCAACCAAGCUAAGUAGGAGGAAAAGCCACGACCCCAAGCCCUUCUGAUGGUGUCAGAUCCCCUCAGCAGUCCCAGCUGCUCCGAGUGUCCGACCAACAGAACCAGGGAGUGAUGUCCGAGCCUUUAUGCCGGUGUUGCUGUGGCCGCCUUGGCUGUCCAGUUCCAUCACACAGCAAUGCGUUGCCAGUAGGUAGGAAAUCCCAACCAACAAGAUAACUUUGCAAUCUCUACGUUUGUUGAUUGAUUUGUUUUUGUUUUUAAUUUUUAAAAAAUAAGAUGUAUUUGGAAUCAGACAGCAUGGUGUUGCAAUCCUUUCUAUUUUUAAAUACUGAUACAUUCUGUGUGUAAAAGUCUUGUUUCUUAGCUAAGAGAACCUUACAUGUGGAGCUGAGUUUGAACCAUUUUUUUUCCUUGUUGUACUGUGAUUUGGGAAUUAUUUUGAUAUAAUCCUUUAAUUUGGUAGAUUUCCCACACCUUCUCCCUCCUUCCUGUCAUCACUUCAUAUUUUUUACAAAAGAAAAAAGAAAACAAACAAACAAAGGAACAAAUAAUCUUUUUUUCUCUCUUUAGGCUGUGUAAUGUUGUGUUGUCCAGAUUCUGUAUAAAAAUAUGUAUAUGAUGUAUCUGAUAUUUGGCAGCAAACAGCUGCAACUUUAACCAAUAUAAUUAACAAAGAAAUGCAUAAUGUUGGUGUUUUAAAAAGUAAAAAAAAAAAAAAAAAAAAAAAAAAAAAAACCUAGUUAAGAUGUUUGUGUAAACUUGCAUGGUUUAAAAUGUACUUAGUGCAUUGAGAAAUGUUGUUAGGGUCCUAAGUGAAAGGCUGGUUUACUUUUUGAUUCUAAUGGUGAUUGGUUUGUUGAUCAGAAUAUCCCCUAUACUGUAUGUCUUAGUUUAUUUAGCAUAUUUAUUUAUUUUUUUCUCAAGAUCUAGCAUAGUGUAUCUAUCUAUAUGUAAUACUGUUCCUUAAAACCAGGUUGUGGAAACUGCGUUUCGUCCGGCAAAAUGAUGUUUUGCAUCACGGUUGUGAUUCAGUUGCAUUCCAUUUAAUUUGCUCUGAAGUCCAGGUUUGACUUUCCAUUGGGAUCUCUCUUGCCAGUGGGGAGAUGCUCACGGCUGGGCUGCCGGACCCUGGGACAAGGUUGAGCCGAGGGCCCGGCUCCUGUCCUACAGCAGAACAUCAACAUCAGGCCCGGUGGUCUCGGAUAAUGGUGGGCUACAAGAGCAGGAUUUGGUCCCUCCAUAGCGAGCGAAAGUUGGGUUUUUCCUCUCGGCAGCACAAGUUUUAUCAGGAUCACAGCAGGCUCCCUGGGGUUUCUCCCAGCUCUCCAUUGGAUGAUUAUGGCUUUUAGCAGCAUCGCUGAAACAAGAGCAGUGAAGUGGGGACGAUCAUCCCAUGAAGAACAUAAUGAAGCUGUUCAGCAAUAAGCUCCCUACUUCCAGAAGCACAAACCCACCGUGUUCCAGAGGAGCUCAUUUGGAGCCCAGCCCUGCAGGUGUGGGAAGCAUACAAGCAAAGGACAUGGUUCCAUUUCACUUGACUUCUCAUUGGUUUGCUCCAGGCUUUGCUUCUGCUGAACUGCCAGAAAGGGAACAUUUCCAAGUGACACCAUCAAAGCUGCAGUGCCCAUGAACAGUACCUGGGACUGACCUCCCUGCACAGGUCAAUGUGGAGACAUUUGUGUUUCUAAUACUUGACAAACCUCCAGUGGCCUUCCCCCAGGGUAACGCAGAGCUAAAUGUAGAUACAUAGAGCUACCAGUUUUCUUAGUGCUCUUCAACCCAGAGAGUUUCAAAGGGCUUUUCCAGCAGGACACGAUGUGACUCAUGCUGCCUAUCCAUGGCAGAGCACUGUUAUCACAGCCACCUCUGGAGUGACCUCACUCCGUAUCUGCUUGUGGCACCAUCAGAAUGCGAUCAUCUGGUGCAAGAAGUGUGGGUUGCACCUUGGGGGAACCUAGCAAAGUAUAACAUGUCCAAAUCCCAGUGAAGUGAGCAUCAAGAGCAAUUUGACUCAUUGCUUUUUCCCUUUCUGAGCAGUUCCUCUCAUUUUGUCCAUCCUUACAGGGCUGGGCAGUGAGAUGUCCAGGUAGAUUAAGCAUCUGCACUUUGCUUUCACCAGCCUUUUCUUUUCUAAGAGCUUAUAAGGUAGUCCUUUCUAGUCCUUAGCAGGAGAAUAGGGAACAAGAAUCUUUCUCUCUGCUCCAGAAACAGGGCAAGCAGGCUCCUUUAUGCAAAGCUAUGGACCGAAUUAUUUUCUCUCAAUCUUCUCUGAUCUCCACCACUUCUUUUAAACCAUGUCUGCACUCUGAUUUUGCUGCUUGAUGGUCUAACCAGUUUCCAUCUGGAAAUAAACAACCAGCCUGACUUAGACGCUGUCAAGAAUCCUCACCUGGCGUGCAGUUACGUGUCCUGUCCUGCAGCCACAUCAUACAACACAAUGGAUGUGGCCUCAACAGUGAAGACAGAUCCUGAGAUUUGUUGCAGGAUCGGUUCCAUCCAUGUAAAGCUGCUUGUGGUAGGUAUCUCCCCAGCUCAGCAAGCAGAAGUGAUCUGCUUCUCUUUUGCUUUGCUCCAUACCCAAGGGUUUCUGCAGUAAAACCAGUGCCCAAUCACAGUUCUCUGGUGAGAAGGAAAUCACCUGGUGGAUGUUUCAUGGCAUGGUGCUCAAUGGAUUUUUUGUCUUCAAGGAUCCAAUCAGUGCAGAGUCCUAUAUCUUUACAUAGAAAAGUUCCUGCUGAAAUCAAGUUUUGCUUUCUAAGGCUGCAAGAUCUGUUACGUGGAGCAUCCUCUGAUAGAGGACAUCAGUAGCCAGUUCCUUGAAAGGGCCUUUUCUAGACAUUAGGAUUUUGCUUCUGCAAAGCUGACCUUCUCUAUCUUCAACAUGACUGGAAAAAGGGUCUGUUCCCUGUAAGGAAAGACCUUGGUUGCUGGAAAUCAUCUUAUGUCUUUUGGAAGAAUGCUCAUGGUGUCACCUCACCUCACAUCUGUUUGCCUCUUCUUGGCUCUACGUGCACUGGGGAAAGCUAGAUUUUUGAGCAGCAUUCCACAGACUGCCUCCAGUGGUCAAUUUCUCUCCCCUGUCUCACAGCUAGCAUGCAAAUGUUUUAAUUUGAGCAAUUAAGCAUACAGCUGGUGUAAAUUAUCAGAGUCCUACUGCAAUAACUGGAGCCAUUCUGACACACAUCAGCCAAGGGCAUGGCACAGCUCUUCACCAGCUGUCAGAGAGAUCUGCAUCUCCUCAUUGCCACCAAGCCUUGCUCUGCUCAAUGGGAGCAUGUUCUGGGGUUAGACAAAAACUCUCUUCAAAAGCAUUGCAGUGGUUUACAAGCUGAGUAACAUGUUUUGCUCAUCCGCUAGCCUCAUCAGCAAUACACUGGAUACAUCUCUCUGUAUAGACAGACUUUCUCCUUUUCUAAGAAGGCCCAUAAAUAACUUUAAUUUCCAUCCUUGAAACCAAGUAAAGAUAAAAACAAAACUAAACUAAAUGAACAACAACAACAAAGCAAAACCCAAACCUUAUGCCCUGAGAUUAUUCCACAAAGCCCAGGCAAGGCUGAGACUGUGCAGGUCAGAGCUAUGGUUUUAUGCAGGACUUUACAAGACUGUUUUAUAUCCAACGCAAUAAAGAAUAACCAACUUAUUGUAGCAAACCUUGUGCCAGGUGCUAUCUCACAGAACCUUCUGCAUCAGACAGUCUGCCCUGUAUUCUCUCUGCCUAGGGACACUUUGCAGAAUUUUGGAAGGGAAGAUCCCCCUUUUGCCUCUUUGCAAACAAAGGCAGGUUGCAAAAGGGGAAAACUGUAUGGCUUUAAGUGUGUUUUUUUCCUUUUCCUUCUCUCUUCCUUUUUUUUUUUUUCCUGCCCUUCCUUCCUUCCUCCCUUCCUUCUCCCCACCUCUUUCCUCUUUUUCUCUGCCCCUUUCCCUUCCUCCCUCUCUCCCAUCUCUCUUUUUCUUUUUUUCUCUUUUACUCUCCUUCUUUCUUAUGAGCUGAGGAAUAGCCUCACUGGGAACCACUUGGAUCUGCAAAACCGAAUCCCAUUGGUCUCUCCAUCAGAAUUUCCAUGCUGAUUUGAGGGACACCCCAAGGAUACCCGUUUGGAGCUCUAUCUGUUGUGCUCUCGUUCAUGUUCUUUGACUUGGUUUCUGACAAUUCUGACCUCUUCUGGAUAAUCUCUUUCCUUGCUGUCAUGUUCAAUGUCUUCCUUUGACCUUUAACAAGCCAAACUUAAACUAGGAAAAUAGGUGUUAAUUCUUUCUGCUGUCUCAUGAGCUCAUCAGUCAUUCUUUCUCACCUUCCAGCAGACGUGUCUUCUUUAUCACAGAGGAAAUGCUACUCAGAGCAAGAGACUGGUGUUGAGGAUCCCAGGAUCCUCAGCUUAGCUUUUCCUUUCGCUUGCUCUCUACUUCUUCUAUGUGUGCCUCUGUUUACCCACCCAGGUAUAAUAAUAUCUACCUCACAGGGGUGUUGUGAGGCUCUGUUCUUGAGAUCCUUGUCUGGAAGGUGGAGGAGAAAUGAUCUGGUUCAUUCAGUAUCUCAUUGGCAUUCCAUGAUCAAAUAUUUUCCUAUACCAUCAGUGUUGGCAGAAGUAAACCAUGACACAAGUUUUAUUCCUUGCUUUUAUCUAUUGUCAAGGUUUGGGCCAUUUGUAAAACCUCCACAAAGGCAAAGCUGAACAUGGCACAUGGAGGAGAUCAGCAUGAUAGGAGAAGUUCUGCUCUUGUUCUUCUUAUUCCUCCAUUGGCUGAAAAUCACACAGUUGAAAGGUUUAUUGCCCUGCUGUCCCAGCAUUCCAACAACCCCAUAAUUAAUUUGUUUGCUGCUACAAACACUUUCUGGACUGUAGAAUCUCACAGGAGACACUGAAAAUCAUGCAAGUGCACAUUUGGGCUGCAUGUUAGAUUGCCAGUACUUUUCAUGACACAGUUCAGGCUGUCCUACAGCACCAUGGCAAUGUGCAGGUGGUUGAUAUUUGUAAGGGUGAGCAGAGAAAACUCAUUUACAAAUAGUUUCUUUGCUCUGCUAGGAGUUUAGUCCCUUGAUGCACAGAGACAACUCUGCUUGACCAUACUUCAGUCAAAGGAUUCAGGUUCUAGCAUGAAUGAUUCAUGAUAUUAUUCCCAGCAACUGGCAGAGGAAGAGAGAAAAAUGUCACUUUCCUACCUUACCCCAUAGUCAGCAGAUGCUAUUCCGUCCCCAACUCUGUCUUAACCACAAUGGAUGGCAAACAGAAUGAAAGCCAUUCUGCCAAACAGCAGGAUGAGUUGCCUCCUUUCAUCCACACAGGUACAGGGACCUUCUUGGAGCAACUUGGAAGAGGUCCCCCUUACUAGAAAGCAGCACUGAGAGAAUUUCUGCUGCCUUUGCCUUUGAAAACAGUGCUGUAAACUCUACAAUACAGACAGAGAAAGCUUUAGCUGGGAUGAAUCAUGUUUUCUGCACUCAUGGGCUGAAUAGGAAAGAGUGGGUCCAUCCCUUAAGAAUUUUGGUGAGUUUGACGUGGAAACAUCAAGGCUAUCAGCAAACAGAAAACAAAAAUAGGCAAAACAAUGCAUGUGCUGAUUAAAACAGUUUGUAUCCUACUUUUUUUUAAUUAAUUAUCCUGCAUUUUGAAAUGAUAAGUGAAAAAACUUGAAUGAAGGUAUUAAAGAUAUCAAAGAGCCUCAAGUCACAUCCUUCAUUUCCCCAUGGCCGUGAUAUAUUUCAAGAAGUAACAUCUUGAAACUUGCAUUUCCUAAGACGUUUUAACUGUGACAUGCUGACUUCUUGAGGAGGAUGAAAACAAGUCUUCAAAACAAAUCACGUCCCCUUGACCCUUUAUCCUACAUGGCACAAACUUUACAACCUUUUCCCUCUUGGAAGUGGGAUUGGCUUCAGUGUAGGAGCCCUGUGUCUGCAGCACUGUAUGGAGCCUCACAAGUCAUUCCACUUAGAUGGGAAUGACCAGGAACACAACGCAACUUGAUCCCAUUGAGCCUACAGAGCAUCAAGGAAAGCUGGCACUGUCUUGGAUCCCACCUGCCCUUCCACUGAGCUAAUGUGGGGCUAUUCUUCCUUUCUGAGGUGAUAGAGUCUUCUACAGCCUUUCAAACCAUCAAACAAAGAGGAGCCACUCUUCUGAUUGUGCAGUUUAACUUGUUGGCAGCAAUACACCCACAGGAGCUGCUCCAGGCAUUGAGCUUUAUCUAGAGAUUGGCAGGAAGGCUCUUGUUCAUUUUAUUUUUCAUAUAACUGCAUUUAUUUUCCCCUUUUUGGUGAAACUUGAGUUGUUCCUGGAAUAUUGAGCUUUGGGAAAAGCCACCAUCGUCCACGCUCCCAUGUCCUGCCCCACACAGCAGCCUAUCCAUUGCCCCAGGAUGAUAAGCACACAGGAGAGGUUAGAGGGACCAUAACAGCCCAUGGCUAUUGCAACAAAGAAGAAAUAAGCACACUGUUGAAACUAAAGCACACAAACAAGCCUGCUCCAUGAUCCUGAUAAAAUCCGCUGCCUGGGAGUAAAUUCCCUAUGGCCUCUUCUAAGAGGUCCCGAGCCCACAUUCACAUCCCCUCCUCCCUUUCUGCUCUGCAAUUUCACAUUGAGACAUCGUCCCCUACUCUCAGGCCAGGCUCUCACUGCAGAGUUUUGCUCUGUGCAGCUCUGUAUUCACCGCAAAUGACGACGACAUCUCUGCAGAAGGCCCCCGAGUGCCAAGAUGCAUCUUUCCUGCAAAAACCCCUAGGAUACAAAGGGGAGCCCGAAAUAAUGAUUUAUGCCAGCAAACAGGUCCAGGAGUUCUGUGUUAGGUGCGGACCUUUGCUGGGGUAGCUGACAAGGUGGAUUAUACCCGCAAAUGUCCUUUGUUAGAGCUGGCCAACACGCCCAAAACGCUUUGCUUCAGAUCUGGACUCGUGCACUUGCCUCUUCCCCGUCCCAUUUGUACACUUUGGUUUCCGAGCUGUUUUUUGCACUGUCAGGAAUUUUUUAAACCGUGUUAAUUGUAGUCAGCUGCAUAAUGUUUGUUAGGCCUCUCCACCAAGCUCUUUAAAUGAAAGUCAGUGGCUGUCUUCCCUUGGACAAUAAUGAAUGUAUAUAUCGUAAGUGCAGACUAUACAGAAAAGUGGCUAAGUCAAGGAUCAGAGGGUUUUGUAAAGCCUGUUUAUUUUUUUAACUAAGUUUGAGCAUUUAUAUUUUACCACCAUUUACGUGGUUUUGGGGAACCCAGAUUGUGUCAAGAUCUCAUGCCAAAACAAGCCAAAAGUUGUUUGAUUUCAACCUUUUCUUCCAUGAACCAUAUUUUAAAUGAUACUUUAAAUGUCAUUUUAAAUGUUUUAUUGAAACAUGUACUGAUGAAAAAAAAAUACAAAAAACAAAAAACAAAAUGUCAUCUUGACAAAAGAUUUAUACAUGAAUCAGAAAGUAUUUAUUUCAAUUUUGUACCUUUCCAUUUUAAUACAUUAUAAUGUAUUGACUCAACUGAGAUAAUAUAAA
ensembl:lncRNA